UAUAACCAUUCAUCAGACACCACUUUGAACUCAGAAGGGGAAAUUAAGCAAAUAUCAAAUGACUGCUUCCUCCAACUUCCAAGAUGGCUAAGAACUUGAGUAAAGGGGUGGUUACAGUAUGCAAAGAGCACACAGCCAAUAAGUGACUUGAAGUGCAAUAAAUGCCUGGAAAAUGCCAGUCUCUAAGUCUUCCGUAGAAGCUGUUAUAACUUAAAAUAAGGAAGAGAAGAACAAGUGAACAACUAGUAGACUAACAGCAGCAGAGUGAAAAGUGCACGGUCUUAAACAUCUAGAAAGAAUAUAAGGUUCAACUUUUUCUCUGACCUAAUGAUCAUGGACCAAUGAGACAGACAGGGCAAAAGACACAUUAAGACUUCCUCCCUCCAAGUAUACUUACGUUAGCCCGUCUUAAGCAAAAAGAGUUGAAAACAAACAAUCAACAGUUAUCAAAAGACACAUUCAGACUUCCUCUCUCCAAGUAUACUUACGUUGGCCCGUCUUAAGCAAAAGCAGUUGAAAACAAACAAUCAACACUUAUUGCUUUUCAAAUAACAAUAGCUGCAAAAUUUGGCAACACUUAUCACUCUUCACAAACACGGUAAGAAGAAAGGAAUCUUGAUUUGUUCAAAAGACAAUAAAACUCUUUUUUUUUCUUUUCUUAUUUACGAAUCUUUUGAGAAUGUGACAAGCUCCAACUUGAAACAAGCUAAAAAUUACAAAUUCUAGAUGAUUUUCAA
rnacentral:lncRNA from 1 species